rnacentral:rRNA from 1 species
UACGGAGGGUGCAAACGUUGCUCGGAAUCAUUGGGCGUAAAGCGCACGUAGGCGGUCGGCUAUGUCGGAUGUGAAAGCCUCGGGCUUAACCCAGGAAGGUCGCAGAUGACUGCCUCGCUUGAGGACGGGAGAGGAGAGCGGAAUUCCCGGUGUAGCGGUGAAAUGCGUAGAGAUCGGGAAGAAGGCCGGUGGCGAAGGCGGCUCUCUGGAACGUUCCUGACACUGAGGCGCGAAAGCGUGGGGAGCAAACAGG